AAAAUUAUAUAAGUUGUUUUUCAUAUAAUCGUGAGAAUAUGGCUCACAAGUUUCUACCUGUUUACCGUAAAUAAACUGGCUAUGGAAAGCUUUGAAAAGAUA
rnacentral:ncRNA from 1 species